CCUACGGGUGGCAGCAGUGGGGAAUAUUGCACAAUGGGGGGAACCCUGAUCCAGCGACGCCGCGUGAGCGAAGAAGUAUUUCGGUAUGUAAAGCUCUAUCAGCAGGGAAGAAAAUUACGGUACCUGACUAAGAAGCCCCGGCUAACUACGUGCCAGCAGCCGCGGUAAUACGUAGGGGUCAAGCGUUAUCCGGAUUUACUGGGUGUAAAGGGAGCGUAGACGGUGGUGCAAGUCAGAUGUGAAAGUCCGGGGCUCAACCCCGGGACUGCAUUUGAAACUGUUGAACUAGAGUACAGGAGAGGCAAGCGGAAUUCCUAGUGUAGCGGUGAAAUGCGUAGAUAUUAGGAGGAACACCAGUGGCGAAGGCGGCUUACUGGACUAUGACUGACGUUGAGGCUCGAAAGCGUGGGGAGCAAACAGGAUUAGAUACCCGAGUAGUC
rnacentral:rRNA from 1 species